GAUGAAGAACGUAGCGAAAUGCGAUAAGUAAUGUGAAUUGCAGAAUUCAGUGAAUCAUCGAAUCUUUGAACGCACCUUGCACCCUUUGGCAUUCCGAAGGGUAUGCUCGUUUGAGUGUCAUUGUACUCUCGCUCUCCCGAUCUUUGGAUCGGGAGUGGUGGACUUGGGUGUUGCUGCUUUACCGUGGCUCACCUCAAAUGGAUUCGUGCAACUCCUGGUUGGACAUAGUACGGCGUGAUAAGUGUCUUCGCCGGCACCUCACUAGAGGGUGGCUGACCGGGAGCUCUGUGCUUCAAACCGUCUUCGGACAACAACUGACAACUUGACCUCAAAUCGAGUAGGACCACCCGCUGAACUUAAGCAUAUCAAUAAGCGGAGGA
rnacentral:misc_RNA from 1 species